CCCUUAGAUGUUCUGGGCUGCACGCGCGCGACAAUGACGUUUGCAACGAGAUUGCGAGGCCGUCAGGUCGAGCUGAUCUUGCAAGCUGCGUCGUGAUAGGGACAGUCGAUUGCAAUUAUUCGACUCGAACGAGGAAUUCCUUGUAAUCGCGCAUCAUCAGUGCGCGCUGAAUACGUCCCUGCCCUUUGUACACACCGCCCGUCGCUCCUACCGAUUGAAUGUUCCGGUGAAUACUUCGGACUGCGAGGUUUGCAGUUUCUGCGCUCCUUGCGGAAAGUUGAAUAAACCUUAACAUUUAGAGGAAGGAGAAGUCGUAACA
rnacentral:rRNA from 1 species